rnacentral:rRNA from 1 species
GAUGAACGCUGGCGGCGUGCCUAAUACAUGCAAGUCGAGCGAACAGAUGAGGAGCUUGCUCCUCUGACGUUAGCGGCGGACGGGUGAGUAACACGUGGAUAACCUACCUAUAAGACUGGGAUAACUUCGGGAAACCGGAGCUAAUACCGGAUAAUAUAUUGAACCGCAUGGUUCAAUAGUGAAAGACGGUUUUGCUGUCACUUAUAGAUGGAUCCGCGCCGCAUUAGCUAGUUGGUAAGGUAACGGCUUACCAAGGCGACGAUGCGUAGCCGACCUGAGAGGGUGAUCGGCCACACUGGAACUGAGACACGGUCCAGACUCCUACGGGAAGCAGCAGUAGGGAAUCUUCCGCAAUGGGCGAAAGCCUGACGGAGCAACGCCGCGUGAGAGAUGAAGGUCUUCGGAUCGUAAAACUCUGUUAUUAGGGAAGAACAAAUGUGUAAGUAACUAUGCACGUCUUGACGGUACCUAAUCAGAAAGCCACGGCUAACUACGUG